rnacentral:rRNA from 1 species
AUUAACGCUGGCGGCGUGCAUCACACAUGCAAGUCGCACGAUGAAGAUUAUUAGACUUCUUCGGAAUGAAAAUAAUUGGAUUAGUGGCGGACGGGUGAGUAACGCGUGAGUAACCUGCCUUACACAAGGGGAUAGCCGUUGGAAACGACGAAUAAUACCCUAUGAAACUAUCACUUCGCAUGAAGCGAUAGUCAAAGUGUUAGCGGUGUAAGAUGGACUUGCGUCUGAUUAGCUAGUUGGUGAGAAAAAAGCCCACCAAGGCAACGAUCAGUAGCCGGCUUGAGAGAGUGUACGGCCACAUUGGGACUGAGACACGGCCCAGACUCCUACGGGAGGCAGCAGUGGGGAAUUUUGCACAAUGGGGGAAACCCUGAUGCAGCGACGCCGCGUGAUUUAGAAGGCCUUCGGGUUGUAAAAAUCUUUUGUAUAGGAAGAAAAUGACAGUACUAUACGAAUAAGGUCCGGCUAAUUACGUG